rnacentral:rRNA from 1 species
GCGGGUGCUAACGUCCGUCGUGGAGAGGGAAACAACCCAGACCGCCAGCUAAGGUCCCAAAUUACUACUAAGUGGGAAACGAUGUGGGAAGGCUCAGACAGCCAGGAUGUUGGCUUAGAAGCAGCCAUCAUUUAAAGAAAGCGUAAUAGCUCACUGGUCGAGUCGGCCUGCGCGGAAGAUGUAACGGGGCUAAGUAGUAAACCGAAGCUGCGGCAAUGUGCUUUUGCACAUUGGGUAGGGGAGCGUUUUGUAAGCGGUUGAAGGUGUGUGGUAACGCAUGCUGGACGUAUCAGAAGUGCGAAUGCUGACAUGAGUAACGAUAAAGGGGGUGAAAAACCUCCUCGCCGGAAGACCAAGGGUUCCUGUCCAACGUUAAUCGGGGCAGGGUAAGUCGACCCCUAAGGCGAGGCCGAAAGGCGUAGUCGAUGGGAAACGGGUUAAUAUUCCCGUACUUCUUACAAUUGCGAUGGGGGGACGGAGAAGGCUAGGUGGGCCUGGCGACGGUUGUCCAGGUUCAAGUGCGUAGGCUUGAGAGUUAGGUAAAUCCGGCUCUUUUUAAGGCUGAGACACGACGUCGAGCCACUACGGUGGUGAAGUCAUUGAUGCCAUGCUUCCAGGAAAAGCCUCUAAGCUUCAGAUUGUAAGGAAUCGUACCCCAAACCGACACAGGUGGUCGGGUAGAGAAUACCAAGGCGCUUGAGAGAACUCGGGUGAAGGAACUAGGCAAAAUGGUACCGUAACUUCGGGAGAAGGUACGCUCUCGACGGUGAAGUCCCUCGCGGAUGGAGCUAUUGAGAGUCGCAGAUACCAGGUGGCUGCAACUGUUUAUUAAAAACACAGCACUGUGCAAAAUCGUAAGAUGACGUAUACGGUGUGACGCCUGCCCGGUGCCGGAAGGUUAAUUGAUGGGGUUAGACUUCGGUCGAAGCUCUUGAUCGAAGCCCCGGUAAACGGCGGCCGUAACUAUAACGGUCCUAAGGUAGCGAAAUUCCUUGUCGGGUAAGUUCCGACCUGCACGAAUGGCGUAAUGAUGGCCACGCUGUCUCCACCCGAGACUCAGUGAAAUUGAAAUCGCUGUGAAGAUGCAGUGUACCCGCGGCUAGACGGAAAGACCCCGUGAACCUUUACUACAGCUUGGCACUGAACAUUGACCCUACAUGUGUAGGAUAGGUGGGAGGCUUUGAAGCACGUACGCCAGUAUGUGUGGAGCCGUCCUUGAAAUACCACCCUUGUAGUGUUGAUGUUCUAACGUCGACCCCUUAUCGGGGUUGCGGACAGUGCCUGGUGGGUAGUUUGACUGGGGCGGUCUCCUCCCAAAGAGUAACGGAGGAGCACGAAGGUGGGCUAAUCACGGUUGGACAUCGUGAGGUUAGUGCAAUGGCAUAAGCCCGCUUGACUGCGAGAAUGACAAUUCGAGCAGGUGCGAAAGCAGGUCAUAGUGAUCCGGUGGUUCUGAAUGGAAGGGCCAUCGCUCAACGGAUAAAAGGUACUCCGGGGAUAACAGGCUGAUACCGCCCAAGAGUUCAUAUCGACGGCGGUGUUUGGCACCUCGAUGUCGGCUCAUCACAUCCUGGGGCUGAAGUCGGUCCCAAGGGUAUGGCUGUUCGCCAUUUAAAGUGGUACGCGAGCUGGGUUUAGAACGUCGUGAGACAGUUCGGUCCCUAUCUGCCGUGGGCGUUGGAAGAUUGAAGGGGGCUGCUCCUAGUACGAGAGGACCGGAGUGGACGAACCUCUGGUGUUCGGGUUGUGUCGCCAGACGCAUUGCCCGGUAGCUAAGUUCGGAAUCGAUAACCGCUGAAAGCAUCUAAGCGGGAAGCGAGCCCUGAGAUGAGUCUUCCCUGAUACUUUAAGUAUCCUAAAGGGUUGUCGGAGACUACGACGUUGAUAGGUCAGGUGUGUAAGUGCUGUGAGGCAUUGAGCUAACUGAUACUAAUUGCCCGUGAGGCUUAACCAU